CAGCAGAAACGGCAAGGUACUUGAAAAGGUGCUACGCAAAACUACCGGUCUAAGGGUAUUCCUACGACAGCGGGGUUUCCAAC
rnacentral:ncRNA from 1 species